UGCAGAGCUCUGAAGUCGCAGAACCUAACAGGCAUCGUCCCUCCUGAGUUCUCGAAGCUUCGCCACCUCAAAGUUUUAGACCUUAGCCGUAACUAUCUGACUGGUUCCAUUCCAAAGGAAUGGGCUUCUAUGCGCUUAGAAGAUUUAUCUUUCAUGGGAAACAGAUUGUCUGGUCCGUUCCCCAAAGUCCUAACUCGCC